UCCUACGGGAGGCAGCAGUGGGGAAUCUUGGACAAUGGGGGCAACCCUGAUCCAGCCAUGCCGCGUGAGUGAUGAAGGCCUUAGGGUCGUAAAGCUCUUUCGCCUGUGAAGAUAAUGACGGUAGCAGGUAAAGAAACCCCGGCUAACUCCGUGCCAGCAGCCGCGGUAAUACGGAGGGGGUUAGCGUUGUUCGGAAUUACUGGGCGUAAAGCGCACGUAGGCGGAUCGGAAAGUUGGGGGUGAAAUCCCGGGGCUCAACCCCGGAACUGCCUCCAAAACUAUCGGUCUAGAGUUCGAGAGAGGUGAGUGGAAUUCCGAGUGUAGAGGUGAAAUUCGUAGAUAUUCGGAGGAACACCAGCGGCGAAGGCGGCUCACUGGCUCGAUACUGACCCUGAAUUGCCAAAGUGUGGGGAGCAAACACGAUUAGAUACUCUGGUAGUCCCCACCCUAAACGAUGAAAUGCCCGUCUCCGGUAAUAUGCCUUUC
rnacentral:rRNA from 1 species